UACGUAGGGUGCGAGCGUUGUCCGGAAUUAUUGGGCGUAAAGAGCUUGUAGGUGGUUUGUCGCGUCUGCUGUGAAAAUCCGAGGCUCAACCUCGGACUUGCAGUGGGUACGGGCAGACUAGAGUGUGGUAGGGGAGACUGGAAUUCCUGGUGUAGCGGUGGAAUGCGCAGAUAUCAGGAGGAACACCAGUGGCGAAGGCGGCACUCUGGGCCAGUACUGACGCUGAGGAGCGAAAGCGUGGGGAGCGAACAGG
rnacentral:rRNA from 1 species